GUCAUGUUUUAACAGCAUUGAGGCUAAGAACAAAAGGAAGAGAGAAUUAGUAUUCAUUGAGAACUUCCCUUGUGAGUGUCUCGUGGAGUUUUCCAGAGGCUUUGCAAAGUGUGAUAUGGCCACUGAUGGAAUGCAGAGGCAGCUAUAAAGACCCAGCUGCCUAUAGUGAAGUCAGACAUUAAAGAGACUUCCAAAUAUGCAAAACAAA